UUACGACGAUAUCACAUUGAAAUACCGGUUCUCAUACGAUCACCAAAGUUAAGCAACAUCAACCCUGAUCAAUAUCUAGAUGGGUGACCGCUUGGGAAUGCAGGGUGCUGUAAG